CUCCUGAUGCCCACGGUCCUUCUGUGAGUACUUAACGAGUAUAGUUGUUACUGCCCAAGCUAUAAUAUAUUUUUUCUGGACUAAAUGCCCACGGUCCUUCUCCGAGGACGAAUACUUUGUGUUUGAACCAUAUUUGAAUUUACCGCCAUUAUUUUUUGGGAUUGCAUCUAUGGAUUUAACAUUCCAUCACUGACAGCUGUCUUAAGUGUCAUCUGAGGAUAAUCAAUCGUUCAUUGAAAAAACGUCAAAAAACGGAACCAUGGCGGGGCCACCGUCGACUAAAAUAUAAUGCGAAAUCCAAGAAAUUGAAGCAGAUUUAGCUAUGUCGGACAUAGAUCUCUCGGAGGACGAUGACAUGACGACAUAAAUGACUCACCAUGAACCCGUAGAAUUUGAAUUUUGUGAUGAUGAUAUCCAGGAGCUGCUA